UACGUAGGGUGCAAGCGUUAAUCGGAAUUACUGGGCGUAAAGCGUGCGCAGGCGGUUUUGUAAGUCUGUCGUGAAAUCCCCGGGCUCAACCUGGGUAUUGCGAUGGAGACUGCAAGGCUAGAAUCUGGCAGAGGGGGGUAGAAUUCCACGUGUAGCAGUGAAAUGCGUAGAGAUGUGGAGGAACACCGAUGGCGAAGGCAGCCCCCUGGGUCAAGAUUGACGCUCAUGCACGAAAGCGUGGGGAGCAAACAGG
rnacentral:rRNA from 1 species